ACAUAGGCUCCAAGCGUUGUUCGGAAUUACUGGGCGUAAAGCGAGUGUAGGCGGUGCGACAAGUCGAUUGUGAAAUCUCCCGGCUCAACCGGGAGGGUGCGGUCGAAACUGUCGGACUGGAGUCCGAGAGGGGAGAGUGGAAUUCCUGGUGUAGCGGUGAAAUGCGUAGAUAUCAGGAGGAACAUCGGUGGUGAAGACGGCUCUCUGGAUCGUGACUGACGCUGAGACUCGAAAGCGUGGGGAGCAAACAGG
rnacentral:rRNA from 1 species